GGAUCCAGACUUUGAUCAUGGCUCAGGAUGAACGCUAGCUACAGGCUUAACACAUGCAAGUCGAGGGGAAACGACAUCGAAAGCUUGCUUUUGAUGGGCGUCGACCGGCGCACGGGUGAGUAACGCGUAUCCAACCUGCCCACCACUUGGGGAUAACCUUGCGAAAGUAAGACUAAUACCCAAUGAUAUCUCUAGAAGACAUCUGAAAGAGAUUAAAGAUUUAUCGGUGAUGGAUGGGGAUGCGUCUGAUUAGCUUGUUGGCGGGGUAACGGCCGACCAAGGCAACGAUCAGUAGGGGUUCUGAGAGGAAGGUCCCCCACAUUGGAACUGAGACACGGUCCAAACUCCUACGGGAGGCAGCAGUGAGGAAUAUUGGUCAAUGGACGAGAGUCUGAACCAGCCAAGUAGCGUGCAGGAUGACGGCCCUAUGGGUUGUAAACUGCUUUUAUA
rnacentral:rRNA from 1 species